rnacentral:lncRNA from 1 species
GUAUUUUGAAAUAUUCAUAUCUAAAUAGAAAAACUUGGCCUAACAGUUUCUUGAAAUCUGUACUACAGUAUGUAUACUGUAAUGUCAAAAUAAUCUAUGACACAGACUAUAUUUGAUGAAGUAUACAGAUUGAAAACUUUGCUAAAUAAACUUGGUGUUUUCCAUAAAAAGAAACGUAUACGUUGAUCUGUGAAGAAACUACGGAGAACUAACUGUAUUUUGAGUGGUUCCGACCUGUGCAGACGGAGAUAUGAAAUUGGUCUAUGAUUUCCUUUGAUUGAGGUUUACAUACAUUUUUUAUAUACAGAUGAAAAUAGCUUUCGACAUGCGGGGAGGACUUUUGUAAGAUAUACUGAUAUUAUAUUGUGUAGACAAGUCAUCAAAUUUA